rnacentral:rRNA from 1 species
AGCGAACGCUGGCGGCAGGCCUAACACAUGCAAGUCGAACGAACUCUUCGGAGUUAGUGGCGGACGGGUGAGUAACACGUGGAAACGUGCCUUUUGGUUCGGAAUAACUCAGGGAAACUUGUGCUAAUACCGAAUGUGCCCUUCGGGGGAAAGAUUUAUCGCCAUUAGAGCGGCCCGCGUCUGAUUAGCUAGUUGGUGAGGUAACGGCUCACCAAGGCGACGAUCAGUAGCUGGUCUGAGAGGAUGACCAGCCACACUGGGACUGAGACACGGCCCAGACUCCUACGGGAGGCAGCAGUGGGGAAUCUUGCGCAAUGGGCGAAAGCCUGACGCAGCCAUGCCGCGUGAAUGAUGAAGGUCUUAGGAUUGUAAAAUUCUUUCACCGGGGACGAUAAUGACGGUACCCGGAGAAGAAGCCCCGGCUAACUUCGUG